CCUUUGUCUAGUAUGUUUCCCAGUCUUCACUCAUCCUGAUACUGGCAUCUUCCCAACUUCUCUAAAGUAGGAAUUUGUAAUUACCCUAGUUUGACUUCUUCUACCAUCCCAUAUCUGAUACUGUUACUAACCUCACUAAAUGUAGUGUCGUCUCCCACUAUCCAACUCAGUUGGUUUCCCCCAAGAAUUAGGUCUUUGCACAUUUUAUGUUUUGUUUUUUAACACCGGAUCUCUUGGUAAUCAUAGCUCCAGUGUCUAAUCCCCAUAUAAAUGGUACAACAUUUUUUUAUGUAGCUCUCCUUGUCAACAAACUAGGUAUCCCUGGGUUUUUCUAAAAGGAACUUGUAACCUUUCAAAUAUUACAUGCAUUACCCUAACUCUGCAUGAUCACAGCCUUGGACUUUACAAUUCUUGUCUUCUCCCCUCAUCCAGUCUAAUAUCAUAUAAGCCACACCUGAAAUUUCCUAUAUUUGCCCUAAUGGCUUUUGUCCAUGCCCUUAUUUCCUGCUUUGAAUAAUUCCACUCACUUGUCAGCCUUUCAAAUACCUGCAUUGACCCACUUUAAACUAUUCCUUCAACAGUUACCUUACAUAGCGC